rnacentral:rRNA from 1 species
AACGUAGGAGACAAACGUUAUCCGGAGUUACUGGGCGUAAAGGGCGUGUAGGUGGUUCUGUAAGUCUGGCGUGAAAUUUUUCGGCUUAACCGGGAAAGGUCGUCGGAUACUGCAGGGCUAGAGGACGGUAGAGGCGUGUGGAAUUCCGGGUGUAGUGGUGAAAUGCGUAGAGAUCCGGAGGAACACCAGUGGCGAAGGCGACACGCUGGGCCGUACCUGACACUGAUGCGCGACAGCAUGGGGAGCAAACAGG